CAGUCGCCGCGGGAAUACGAAGGGGGCUAGCGUUGUUCGGAAUUACUGGGCGUAGAGGGCGCGUAGGCGGCCAUUCAAGUUAGCUGUGAAAGCCCUGGGCUCAACCUAGGAAUUGCAUUUGAUACUGUUUGGCUUGAGUUCGGGAGAGGUGAGUGGAAUUCCCAGUGUAGAGGUGAAAUUCGUAGAUAUUGGGAAGAACACCAGUGGCGAAGGCGGCUCUCUGGAACGACACUGACGCUGAGGCGCGAAAGCGUGGGGAGCAAACAGGAUUAGAUACCCCUGUAGUCCCUGUCUCUUAUAA
rnacentral:rRNA from 1 species